UUGUCAGGUCCCGUGUUUGUUUGAGGUAGUUGUGGUAAUAUCGGAUUUGGUUCUGGUGGUGGUACAUCGUGCUCUUCACGUCCUUCACGCUCUUUCAGCCUUGCGGGCCUCCUUUCUCUCGGUCUACCAUCAAUGUGCUAUUCACAAUUCAGCAUGCAGCCUUACAUGUACUGUACGUGUACGUCAUGUCUCAAAUCAUCAAUUUGAUGUAACUCAGAAUUUGUGAAGUUUCUGUGCUCUCUGCAGUUUGGUAUUGUGUGGCUUCCCACAGCUUGCUGGCUAUUGAGGGACAUACAUCAUUGGCUUCCAGUAAACUAAGAACAGAGCAGUUGAUCAUCUCUGUCAUCUCAUCAAACAGCAGUUUUAGAUGCCUUACAGAUUUCACAUUUAAGGCAGAGAUAGUCACAAAUGCACAGAGAGAUGCUGAUGUCAGCAGAGGUAGAUGUGCUGAAGUCGGCAGACGUGCCAAAGUCGGCAGAGGCAGACAAGCUGAUGUUGAUUGAGCGUGGAAGACACCUAGAUGGACAUCGACAGGAGGAGAGACAGACGGAAGCGAGAUGACUAUCCUGAAGGUUA